rnacentral:misc_RNA from 1 species
GUACUCAAGCACUGCUUGGUGUUGGGCGUGUCCGCUGUCGGACUCGCUUUAAAUCCAUUGGCAGCCGGUAUCUGGUCUGGAACGCAGCACAAUUGCGCCCUGGCUUGAGCUGGCGACCAUAAGUCGACCAUUUUAC